ACCGCAAUCAUCAUAUGGGUUUGUUUGAUUGGGCCGUAACCUUUUUCAUAUUCCACAAUUACCACAUAACAAACCCUACCUCCUACGGGUUGUGCGACGGCAGAAGACCAGAACCCCCCCCCCCCCCCAACCCUUCUCGAGACAUCAUCUGAAUUGAUCGAACUUGUGGAACUAAUUGACCAACUGGGAACACGUGCUUUAUUUUACGGAGCAAAACUAAGGUCGUUAGGUAUCUUGGAAUUGGGAAGCUUGCUAUCUGGGAG